UACGAAGGGGGCUAGCGUUGCUCGGAAUCACUGGGCGUAAAGGGUGCGUAGGCGGGUCUUUAAGUCAGGGGUGAAAUCCUGGAGCUCAACUCCAGAACUGCCUUUGAUACUGAGAAGCUUGAGUUCGGGAGAGGUGAGUGGAACUGCGAGUGUAGAGGUGAAAUUCGUAGAUAUUCGCAAGAACACCAGUGGCGAAGGCGGGACUCUGGGCCGAUACUGACGCUGAGGAGCGAAAGCGUGGGGAGCAAACAGG
rnacentral:rRNA from 1 species